CCCCUAUGGUUUAUAACCCCUGAGUCUGGGGGUAAUGGCACGGGGACCCACCAGCUUGUCUGCCGCCAUCUGGGGUACAGUGCUGGAAGCGGGGAUACAGGGACAAAUAAGACACAGAUCCUGUUCCUAAAGAGGCUGGAGUGCAAUGGCAUGAUCUCAGCUCACUGCAACCUCUGCCUCCCGGGUUCAAGCAAUUCUCCUGUCUCAGCCUCCUGAGUAGCUGGAUUACAGAGUCUUUUCUAAGGCACCAACUACUUCCUUCAAGCAGCAGCCAGAGAUCUUUGCUUAAUGGCUGAGAAACACAGAGGAGAGACCCAGAGAGAAGGAGAAGGCCGCAUGAAGAUGGAGCAGAGACUGGAGUUAUUCAGCCAAGUCAAGGAAUGCCUGGAGCACCAGAAGCCGGAAGAGGCAAGGAAGGAUCCUCCCUUAGAGCAUUUGGAAGAGUGUGGCCCUGCCAACACCUUGACUUCAAACUUCUGGCCUCCAUAACUAUGAAAUAAAUUCUUGUUGUUUUAAGCCACCAA
ensembl:lncRNA LINC01702 long intergenic non-protein coding RNA 1702